GUCGUUUUCCAUCUCAGUGGUAGAGUAACGCCAUGGUAAGGCGUAAGUCAUCGGUUCAAAUCCGAUAAAGGGCU